GUGCACGCUUUGGCAACACAUACACUAAAAUUGGAAUGAUACAGGGAAGAUUAGUAUGGCCCUUGUGCAAGGAUGACAUGCAAAUUCACGAAGCGUUCCGUAUUUUU
ensembl:snRNA U6 U6 spliceosomal RNA